AGAGUUUGAUCCUGGCUCAGGAUGAACGCUAGCUACAGGCUUAACACAUGCAAGUCGAGGGGCAGCAUGGUCUUAGCUUGCUAAGGCCGAUGGCGACCGGCGCACGGGUGAGUAACGCGUAUCCAACCUGCCUUACACUCUUGGACAGCCUUCUGAAAGGGAGAUUAAUACAAGAUGUUAUCAUGAGUAAGCAUUUUCGCAUGAUUAAAGGUUUACCGGUGUAAGAUGGGGAUGCGUUCCAUUAGAUAGUAGGCGGGGUAACGCCACCUAGUCUUCGAUGGAUAGGGGUUCGUGAGAGGAAGGUCCCCGACAUUGGAACUGAGACACGGUCCGAAACUCCUACGGGAGGCA
rnacentral:rRNA from 1 species